rnacentral:rRNA from 1 species
GAUGAACGCUGGCGGCGUGCCUAAUACAUGCAAGUCGAGCGAACGGACGAGAAGCUUGCUUCUCUGAUGUUAGCGGCGGACGGGUGAGUAACACGUGGAUAACCUACCUAUAAGACUGGGAUAACUUCGGGAAACCGUAGCUAAUACCGGAUAAUAUUUUGAACCGCAUGGUUCAAAAGUAAAAGACGGUCUUGCUGUCACUUAUAGAUGGAUCCGCGCUGCAUUAGCUAGUUGGUAAGGUAACGGCUUACCAAGGCAACGAUGCAUAGCCGACCUGAGAGGGUGAUCGGCCACACUGGAACUGAGACACGGUCCAGACUCCUACGGGAGGCAGCAGUAGGGAAUCUUCCGCAAUGGGCGAAAGCCUGACGGAGCAACGCCGCGUGAGUGAUGAAGGUCUUCGGAUCGUAAAACUCUGUUAUUAGGGAAGAACAUAUGUGUAAGUAACUGUGCACAUCUUGACGGUACCUAUCAGAAAGCCACGGCUAACUACGUG